rnacentral:tRNA from 1 species
AUUUAUAUAGUUUAAAAAAAACACUAUAUUUUCAAUAUAAAAAUAAAGAAAUUUUAUAAAUA